rnacentral:rRNA from 1 species
UAACCUGCCCAAGAGAUCGGGAUAACACCUGGAAACAGAUGCUAAUACCGGAUAACAACAGAUGAUGCCUAUCAACUGUUUAAAAGAUGGUUCUGCUAUCACUCUUUGGAUGGACCUGCGGUGCAUUAGCUAGUUGGUAGGGUAACGGCCUACCAAGGCGAUGAUGCAUAGCCGAGUUGAGAGACUGAUCGGCCACAUUGGGACUGAGACACGGCCCAAACUCCUACGGGAGGCAGCAGCC